GUCUGAUCCUCUCCUCAAGACCUGGCAACAGCUAGCCAGGCUCCCACUGUUAAGGCUGCCAUUCCACAUGCUGUUCUCACCUCCAAGUUAGGUGGCUCUGGGAACAAGAGUCUAUCUCUCUGCGGCAGGAUAAUGAGCUUCAACCGAAACUGAAUGGAAUAAUAAUGAAACAGGUGCUUUUUAUGUAUAUCCUGAACUGUUACUGAACUCUCUGACUUCUGUAAAUGGGAUAAAAAUCCAUAGAGACUAAACUUGGGAUUCAGAAGUACAGAAAAUUAUGAAUCUACAGAAAAUUAUGAAUACAGAACCCAGCCACGAUGUCAUGAGAAAGCCUAGGCAGCCUGUGAAGAGGCCCACAGCCCACAACCCUGACUGAGCUUUCAGCUGACAGCCAACACCAACAUUCUAGCCAUACCAGAAAGCCCUAGAGGACAGAAAUCUGGGUAGUGCACAUAGUCCUGACACUCAUUUAUUUGAGACACUCAUCAUCAUGUUUUCAACUGUGAAGGAAGGGAGAAUGUUGUCGUUCUUGUAUCCUCGGAGUUCUGGAUGCUGAGAGAGCAUCUACAGCAACAAGCUGGAUGUGGCUGCAGUAUAUAAAUGAGGAUGAAAUUAGGGUAAUUUGGGCAGGAAGUCUACAAGGGAACAGAGCCAUCUGCAUGAGAUUAGUUCUUUAAGUGGGGAAAUCUUUGUGAAGAUUUCCUUUGAAUGGGGGUAAAGAAACACUGGGAUGGACAAUCAAAUACAGUUUUUGUUGUUG